rnacentral:rRNA from 1 species
AUUGAACGCUGGCGGCAGGCCUAACACAUGCAAGUCGAACGAGUGGCGGACGGGUGAGUAAUGUCUGGGAAACUGCCCGAUGGAGGGGGAUACCUACUGGAAACGGUAGCUAAUACCGCAUACCAUCGGAUGUGCCCCGGUGGGAUUAGCUAGUAGGUGGGGUAAUGGCUCACCUGGGCGACGAUCCCUAGCUGGUCUGAGAGGAUGACCAGCCACACUGGAACUGAGACACGGUCCAUACUCCUACGGGAGGCAGCAGUGGUUAAUAUUGCACAAUGGGCGCAAGCCUGAUGCAGCCAUGCCGCGUGUAUGAAGAAGGCCUUCGGGUUGUAAAGUACUUUCAGCGGGUAGGCGGGACUCGCAGAAGAAGCACCGUCUAACUCCGUGCCAGCAGCCGCGGUAAUAC